UCCCGUUUAACACGGGCAGUCUCUCUAGAGUGCCGCCUUUCGGCAUGGUAACACAGGACAAGGGUUGCGCUCGUUGCGGGACUUAACCCAACAUCUCACGACACGAGCUGACGACAGCCAUGCAGCACCUCGACUCUAGUCCCUUGCGGGAAAACCGUGUUUCCACAGUCGUUCACGAGCCGUUCGAGCCCAGGUAAGGUUCUUCGCGUUGCGUCGAAUUGAACCACAUGCUCCACCGCUUGUGCGGGCCCCCGUCAAUUUCUUUGAGUUUUAACCUUGCGGCCGUACUCCCCAGGCGGAUGACUUAAUGCGUUAGCUGCGCCACCGAAAGCCCAUGGCCCCCGACAGCUAGUCAUCAUCGUUUACGGCGUGGACUAC
rnacentral:misc_RNA from 1 species